AGUGGUCGCCUCUCUCAAAGUUAUGAGCUGUCCUACAGCUGUUUCCAACCUAAAUCAUGCCUCUUUCAAAUUUUGAAUUGGAUGCAACCACCUCCUUUGAACUUCCUAGUAUCAUUACAAACCUACUUCUUCACUCUACAAUGCCUAGCCUUCUUGUUCCUAUUAUCUUAGAUAGCUUUUUUUGUUCCUAUUAUCAUUACAAACCUACUUCUACAAUUUCAAAACUCACACUACCAUGCACCAAAA
rnacentral:lncRNA from 1 species